AGAGGAGAAAUCACUCACUGUCAUCGAGUAGAAACCCUAAUCUUGAAGAAAGUUGAAACCUCUGAUUUUCACUCGGGGGAAUAAGGUCACUCACCAGUCAAGAGUCAUCGAAGAGAUCCAAAGACACCAAAAAUAGUGAGAGAAUGGAGGAAGGACCGAAGGAAAAACCCUAGGUUCUCUACGACUCCUCAGACCCUCACUUGUGGCCAUGAUGGGAGACAAUGGGUAUGAUCCGGGUGAUCUAGUGCCUCGGGGAGGAAGAAGAGUGGUUAGGGUUAGGGUUAGUUGCCGUUGGGAAGGAAGAAUAGGUUAGGAUUGGCCACUGCUAGGGAAGGAAGAUGAAAUGAAGGACAGAGGGUUUGACUGUUUGAGCCUUUGAGGAAUUUAUUUAUCAUCCGACAGACCCGAAGAGCCGAAGAGGGACUCCUUCAACUUUUGAGGGGGCUGAGCACCUAAGUGGGCCACGUGUUGGCCCAACAAUGUUGGGACAAGAAUUUAUUUAUCACUCGACAGAUCCGAUGAGCCGAAGAGAGACUCUUUCAACUUUUGAGGGGGUUGAGCACCUGAGUGGGCUACGUGUUGGCCCAACACUAUUGGGCCCCUUGGAUCCAUUGCAGCUGGCAUGCCCAACAGGUUGACAGAUCACACGAUCCAACCCGACCCAUCC
rnacentral:lncRNA from 1 species